rnacentral:rRNA from 1 species
AUUGAACGCUGGCGGCAGGCCUAACACAUGCAAGUCGAACGAGUGGCGGACGGGUGAGUAAUGUCUGGGAAACUGCCCGGUGGAGGGGGCUAACUACUGGAAACGGUAGCUAAUACCGCAUACCAUCGGAUGUUCCCAGAUGGGAUUAGCUAGUAGGGGGGGUAACGCCUCAACUAGGCGACGAGCCCUAGCUGGUCUGAGAGGAUGACCAGCCACACUGGAAAUGAGAAACGUCCCAGACUCCUACGGGAGGCAGCAGGGGGAAUAUUGCACAAUGGGCGCAAGACUGAUGCAGCCAGGCCGCGUGUAUGAAGAAGGCCUUCGGGUUGUAAAGUACUUUCAGCGAGGAGGCGUUACUCGCAGAAGAAGCACCGGCUAACUCCGUGCCAGCAGCCGCGGUAAUUA